rnacentral:rRNA from 1 species
UGUAAACGAUGUCGAUUUGGAGUUUGUUGCCUAGAGUGAUGGGCUCCGAAGCUAACGCGAUAAAUCGACCGCCUGGGGAGUACGGCCGCAAGGUUAAAACUCAAAUGAAUUGACGGGGGCCCGCACAAGCGGUGGAGCAUGUGGUUUAAUUCGAUGCAACGCGAAGAACCUUACCUGGUCUUGACAUCCAUAGAAUUCUGCAGAGAUGUGGGAGUGCCUUCGGGAACUAUGAGACAGGUGCUGCAUGGCUGUCGUCAGCCCGUGUUGUGAAAUGUUGGGUUAAGUCCCGCAACGAGCGCAACCCUUAUUCUUUGUUGCCAGCGAUUUGGUCGGGAACUCAAAGGAGACUGCCGUUGAUAAAGCGGAGGAAGGUGGGGACGACGUCAAGUCAUCAUGGCCCUUACGACCAGGGCUACACACGUGCUACAAUGGCGUAUACAAAGGGAAGCGAAGGUGCGAGCUGGAGCGGAUCUCGUAAAGUACGUCUAAGUUCGGAUUGGAGUCUGCAACUCGACUCCAUGAAGUCGGAAUCGCUAGUAAUCGUAGAUCAGAAUGCUACGGUGAAUACGUUCCCGGGCCUUGUACACACCGCCCGUCACACCAUGGGAGUGGGUUGCACCAGAAGUAGAUAGCUUAACCGCGAGGGGGGCGUUUACCACGGUGUGAUUCAUGACUGGGGUGAAGUCGUAACAAGGUAACCA